ACAUGAGAUUUUGACAGAUGGCGGGAAACCCUCAUCAACUGGAGAUCAGCCGGUAAAAAGGUAGAGAAAUGUCUGCGACUCAGCCGAGGGCCACUGCAUAAGGGUUAUUGAUGGCAAAACAGGUUGGAGACUACAUGAGAUUUUGACAGAUGGCGGGAAACCCUCAUCAACUGGAGAUCAGCCGGUAGAGGAAUGUCUGCGACUAAGCCGAGGGCCACUGCAUAAGGGUUAUUGAUGGCAAAACAGGUAGAGGAAUGUCUGCGACUAAGCCGAGGGCCACUGCAUAAGGGUUAUUGAUGGCAAAACAGGUAGAGGAAUGUCUGCGACUAAGCCGAGGGCCACUGCAUAAGGGUUAUUGAUGGCAAAACAGGUAGAGGAAUGUCUGCGACUAAGCCGAGGGCCACUGCAUAAGGGUUAUUGAUGGCAAAACAGGUUGGAGACUACAUGAGAUUUUGACAGAUGGCGGGAAACCCUCAUCAACUGGAGAUCAGCCGGUAGAGGAAUGUCUGCGACUAAGCCGAGGGCCACUGCAUAAGGGUUAUUGAUGGCAAAACAGGUUGGAGACUACAUGAGAUUUUGACAGAUGGCGGGAAACCCUCAUCAACUGGAGAUCAGCCGGUAGAGGAAUGUCUGCGACUAAGCCGAGGGCCACUGCAUAAGGGUUAUUGAUGGCAAAACAGGUAGAGGAAUGUCUGCGACUAAGCCGAGGGCCACUGCAUAAGGGUUAUUGAUGGCAAAACAGGUAGAGGAAUGUCUGCGACUAAGCCGAGGGCCACUGCAUAAGGGUUAUUGAUGGCAAAACAGGUAGAGGAAUGUCUGCGACUAAGCCGAGGGCCACUGCAUAAGGGUUAUUGAUGGCAAAACAGGUUGGAGACUACAUGAGAUUUUGACAGAUGGCGGGAAACCCUCAUCAACUGGAGAUCAGCCGGUAGAGGAAUGUCUGCGACUAAGCCGAGGGCCACUGCAUAAGGGUUAUUGAUGGCAAAACAGGUUGGAGACUACAUGAGAUUUUGACAGAUGGCGGGAAACCCUCAUCAACUGGAGAUCAGCCGGUAAAAAGGUGGCCUUAAAACAGUGACCGUUGAUUCGCGUCGAGUUCUUUCUUACAUACUGCAUGACCUAUCUUUUUUAUUGUUUAAAUCCAU